ensembl:lncRNA
UUCUCAAUCAUUUUGAAACAGGAAGAAGCAUCGAUAAGAAGAUAAUUUGUAUUGUUUGCCAACCGCUAAAAAAAGAAGUUGUUGUUUGCCGUGUCGCAUUCUACACAUUUUCAGUCCAAGCCUGAUGCAGAGCAGUUCUCCCGGGUUAAGGGGUCCCUGCUGCAGUUUCACCAGUAAAGAAAAUUACUUGUUACAGUUCACUUGAAGGACCACAUAAGCCAUGCAGUGGUGCAUGGAGGUAUGGAGCGCCAAGAGGACAUAAAGUGGAAGUUUGUAAGGGACAUUGGUCCAGCGUGGUACAGAGUCAUCGUGGGUUAUUCUGUGGGGAGGUGACAGGGCCUGCCGUUCUCCAGAUGGACAGUAAAAAUCAACAGAAUGCCAUCAAAGACUACCUGGAGGGAGAAUCGGAGGAUAUAUUGAAGCAAGGAAUCUCUCUGUGUAGUCUAUGUAUGUUUGUGUGUGUACUGCAUGUCAAGAACUGUUUAUCUGAUCAUUCAGCUGUUCAUUCAGCUGCUCAGACUUUAUAAUAUUUGGAGCAUACCUUUUGUUAAACAACCAGUCAAAAGUUUUUGAACAGUGAGAUUUUUUUUAUGUUUUUAAAGAAAUAUCUUCUGCUCAUCAAGCCUGCAUUUAUUUAAUCCGAAGUACAGCAAAAACAGUCC